rfam:Salmo salar isolate Sally breed double haploid chromosome ssa26, whole genome shotgun sequence.
UGUAUUCACUACUGUAAGUUCGCUCUGGAUAAGAGCGUCUGCUAAAUGACUAAAA